GAACUGGGACCAGCGGUAGGGGUAGGGCCCGGGCCCGGGUCCGGGUCCGUAGAUGGGGUUUGGGAACGGUACCGGGAUCGGUAGCGGGACUGGGAGUGGGGACGGGGCCCGGGGACCUGGACUUGGACUUGGACCCCGACCGGGACCGGAACCGGGACCGCGUCGGGGGACAGAGGACCGGCGGAACGGGGACCGGCGCCGAGAUCGACAGCGGCACCGGCACCGGCACUGGGACCUGGCGGUUCCUCACGGCCGGGCCGGACUACCAGGGGAGCGCUGCGGGGAGUGGGAUGUCGAGGGUGGAAUGUCAGGUGUGGGCUGCCCGCCACACCUCCCACCGGUGCCGGUGAUACUGCCGUUAAUCACGGCUCUUUUAGCGGACAGGUGCCGGUGGGGCGGUGAGGCUGUCACAGCGGAACACGACAGGCCCGGGGGGUGAGGAGAGGGUGGGCAAGGCUGGUAUCCGUGGGCAACUGGGAGCGCUGGGGGAGAUGCUCUGGCUCCCAGGAGCACACCAUCGAGUUAUCCUCUCACUGCUGCCAGCCCUCCAGCUUCCACCUUAUUUCUCUCUAGAAAUAUGUUCUUUAAGCAUGUAAUAUCAGGAAGAAAUUCUUCCCUGUGAGGGUGGUGAGGUUCUGGCACAGGUUGUCCAGAGAAGCUGUGGCUGCCCCAUCCCUGGAGGUGUUCGAGGCCAGGUUGGAUGGGGCUCGGGGCAACCCAGGAUAGUGGAAGGUGUCCCUGCCCAUGGCAGAGGGUUGGAAUGAAAUGAGCUUUAAGGUCUCUUUCAACUGAAACCAUUCUAGGAUUCUAUGAUAAUGUAACAAGGAGAGAUGGAAAUCCACACAAAAUGAAGCAAGGGACAAUCAAGAAAAAAAAUAUUCUAGUGCCCAAAGCAGAGAGUAAGUUAUAUAUAUUCCUUUAACACGCUGGAUGAACUCCUGUAGUGCACAAAAGUCAGUAGUUCUGGAUCUGGAUCUCCUGGUACUCUCCCAAGUAAAAUUUAUCACCUUGUUGUAACAACGUCUUUUCUAUAUUCAGAGAAGAAGAGGAAGGAGGAAACAGAUAAAAGAUUUGUCAAGAUCAGUGUUGGUAUCUGCAUGUACACAUUUGUCUUUGAAGGCAUGUAUUUUCAGGCAAACUAUUUUGUGUUAACAGUGGCUGACAUUACUGAAGGCACGGGGGUUAGGAAUCUAGAAACCACUGUCUGAAGUCUCAGAUACAAAUAACAUUUAUGAUAAAGGAAACUUUCAAGUAUAGGGCACACCAACAGUAUUUAGGUCUCUAACAUGAACUUUCAGGGCUCAGCGUUGGACUCUGCUCCAGAGUUUGUCUGUAGACUGGUAGAUCAGUCUGUUGGACAGGCAAGGUUUUGGAUUAAUUUUUAGAUUGCAGUGAUCUCAUAUUCCUUAUAUGACCCAAAAGGUAAUCACAGCUCCUUCAUCUUGCUUAUUCAUCUCUCUGAUUCUUUUUCUCUAGGCUGACAUUUCUCUAGGCUGACAUCAGUGGAAUGGAGGUAAUGUGCAUAUGACUCUGAUCUUCAGCUUCUGUAUCUAAGGAAGGUCUUUCAUUCAGGCUGAUCUCCAGUUAUAAAAGAAAUUGUUAUGGCUCAGUCUUGGCAGGCUUCAGAAAAACUCCAACACUUCAAAUGCAUUCAGUUAAUAUGCAGAAUAUUGACUCACUGCUUACUCAUAUGACUAGCAUUUAAAAGACACUUUCUCAUUUUUAAAGGAUAUUAUAAAUGAUGGCUUAAUCCUCACAGCCUGGUGAAGUCAGUUGGCAUAAUUUUCCCUUACUAAUGGAAGAAAUGUGUAGGAAAAAGUAAGAUAUUUAUGAGAUGUCAUUAUUGCUUUUAGAUUUAUUUCAAGGAAGUGCCCCUGUAAUUUGUGCUGAGGUAACUAUUGAAAACUCCCAAAAGUGAUGGAGGAACUGACUGUAAUCCCAGGUGACCGAGGAAAAAGAGACUGCUUUAACAUUAAGUUACCUAUACUCUGUAGUCCACUUGUUCUGAAUGAUGUUUAAAGGGAGUUUGAAUUUACCAAUAUAUAGGAAUAACACUUGGGCACAGCAGCUCAGCAUUACUGAUGAUGAGGGGUACUGAUCCUCAAGUUAGAUUUUACAGACUUCACUGACAACAUCUCUCUUGGGACUGCUUAAAGGAAAAGAUCACACAUUCCAGCCUAGUGAAGGAAUGGGUGCAUCCUUUUCUAGAUGUUAUUCAGCAUGGAUGUCCCAGUUUGCAAAUGUUUUUUAUGCAUUGUCAGUUCGAGAAAAGUUGCAGAUGGAAGCACAGCAAACUUGUCUAGCUGAGAACAAGGAAAGCAGAAAGUGAGUCUUUCCCUUUGGGGCACCAGGAGAUGCAAGGAGACAAGGACAGUAAGGAAAUUGAAGAAGGGAACAGAUCUCCUCAAGAUCAGCCUUUUGAUAAGUUGGAGUUUGUACCUGUGGAGUUGUCAGUUUGAUAUGACACACAUUUACUAGUUAUUUGAUUGUAUUACUUCGUGGAAGUAAUACAUGACUGCAUCAUAUAUGUGUCCUGAAACAUGUCCAGAUUCGAGGAACCCCCGUGUUACAGAAAGCAGAUAUUUUUGAACAGAAAAAAAUGUUAUAGUAAGUGGUCAUGCUGUGACAAUGAACCUGGCUUUUUGCUUGACCAUGCUGUGGCCAUGUAGCCUAAAAAUGGAGUUUGAUGGACAAUUGCAAUGAUUUCUGCAGAUGUAGUACUCUAGGAGUGUUUGAAUAAUUUGUCUUUAACUGAAAAUGCUUUUAUGCUUUUCUUCAUAAGCUUGUGUCGAAGCCAGUCCUGUGUUUACAGCUCUCUCAUUAUUUAAACAGCGAAUGCAGUGUGUCCCCUCAAAGGGAAACAGCUGUAUUGUUCUGGUGGAACAUACACAUGGCCAAACUAAGAGGUGACUCCCUGGCUUGUUGAACUUGGAGGUUUCCCUUUUUAUUUACAUUUGUUGCAGAAUUCCAGCCAUAAUCUCAGAUGUAAUUGGAAAACAUCCUUUGCCACCCUGAUUUUGUUUCCUUCUUUGUUGUACUGUCCUAGCCAUGAUGGUUACAUGUAUACUCAGAGGCUAUGGUAGAAGAGAAUUUAAAGUUCAUUGUGUUGCCCCCAAAUCUUUGAUUUCAUAUAUAUGUUUUAUUCAGGAUUAAAGGGUAUCUUUCUCAUAUUUUGUUAGAAGUACCAUAGGAAUAUAUUACUGAGAGAAGCUUACUAUGAGCUAAAACUUACUGUUUAUAAAUAAUGACAAAAUAUGGAAAAUUAGGAAAAAAAUUAAUGACAGGGCUCCACCACCCUAUAGUACAUAAGCACAGAAGGAGUUGUAUGAAAACUGGGGUUACAGUAUCUAGAAAAAAUUCCUUUGCGGUUGUUACAUGAAUGAAGAGUGCGUGUGAGCCUGUAUGAAUCCCAGCUCCUUCAUUUAGAAGGGAAGAAUGCUCUUUUUUUCUGAUUGAUGUCAGUGGUUUGGGAUUAGGCACCUAAUAUAGUUGGAUCUCAUGAUUAUAAGAAGAGCUUCUGUCCUAUCUGCCAGACGAACAGAAACACUCUCCACAGGCUGCAGGGUAAAUGCUUUUUUUUAUAGGCUUGAAUUUGACUAACAGAAGAGUCGGCAAAGCAAUUGGUGGUGUCUUGCAGGAAAUCUCAUCACCCGAUGGAGACAAGAAGGUGACUUCCUGGGGAGAAGUAUCUUGUCCCUGUACCCCUAGACAUACUAAACAUUGACAAGAGGAACGUGUUUACAAAGGUUUCCCUAAUCUUAUGUUUUGGAUGGACAAGGCACUUGCUGCUUAGUAUAGCUGGCUAUUGGGGCAGAGAAUCUCUUCACUAUCUGAGGAAAGAAUAUCUGAGAUAUUUUGGAACCCAGCUUUUGUACAGUAUUGCAAAGAAUUAAUUUAGGUUUUCUGGAAUGACUUUGUCUUUCCUUCCUUCCUUCCUUGCAUCCCAUGUCCCACCCAGUCUCAUCCAGUUUCCUGCUUCUGGUUUAUUUAUAGCCAAACGUAAUAGGUGGGUUUUAAAGAAGUGCCUCGGGGACCAGAUAGCACAAAUCCCUCUGAAUUAUUGAAAAGCACAUUUUUUAUAUGUAUAUAUUGAUGUUUGGUUGGUUUUAGCAGAGGGGGUUAAAAACAUUUGUAUCGUGAAAAACUAUGUAACCCCCCUGCAAAGUACAGUUGCAAUGACAGCUAACAAAGUAGAUGCACAGAUGCUUUUGACUGCUUGGGUAGCUGUGCAGCCUCACACAAAACAAAGAUUUUAGCAAACACAGUCUUGUGAGUCUGUUCACAAGCACCAGCUGACAUAUUCCUGCAAUAUACUUUUAGACUUCAUUUAUAGUAGGAAUUUUUGCUGCCUUCACAGCUUUUGGCUAGCACGAAAGGAGAUUUGUGCUGGGGCAACCGCCAAGGCCAAGCCUGCUGUCAGCAGUGAUUUGCAAAGAGGCAGUUUACCCUGUUUUCCAGCUGGGAGUCGUGCACUCUAGUAAUCAUAAUUACAAUAUUUAGCUCUAAUACAGUGCUUUUAAGAUGGGUAUCUUAAAACAUUAUGAGGGACAGAGGGAUAUCAUUAGCUCCUCAACAUGUAUUAUUUUUUGCAACUGCUACAAACUAUCAUGGGACUGAAGAAGAAGGGAAGAAGGUGAACAGAUCUUGUGGUGUUGCUGUGUCUCCUCCAGCCAGUCUGUCCCUGUUGUUAUUCCAGCAUUCAAAGGGAACAGGAGCUGAACCAUGACCAUUUUCCUGCAGCAGAAGCUGAGUACCCGCUGGCCUCCUGAAUACAAAAAUGAAGUUUCAUACUGUUUCCUUUGAAUGGAAGCAGCAUGACGUGAGUGUGGAAAGAGUGGAACAGUAUGUUAAGGGAAACACAACUGAAAGGAGAGAACAGCUGACUCCAAGGGCUGAGCAGAUCUGCCCCCUCUGCUUCACUGUGUAGGUUUGUUUUCAGCUCUUCAACUCAGACCAUCUCGUGGGUCUCACAAAACAUCUCCACAGCUCUGGGCUAGAAAAUGAAACAAUUGCAAGGAGAUUGUUCAUUCUUCCUGAAACAAGCUACACAAGCUGUGGGAAAUGACAGCUAAGGCUGAACUUUAAAACAACCUGAAAGCACUUAAAAACAGAAAUGCAGAGUGAAGCCAUUCAAUAGAGUCAGAUUUGGAAGAGAGCCCUGAAAAAACCUGCAGUUAUGACUAAUCCAUUUUUAACGUGUGUGGUUGUAGGUAAAAUCACUUCUUCAAAAGAUCAUUUCUCUCCCUGUUAUGGUUACAGUUCUUUACUGUCCUUUUAGAUAAAUGACGUGUUGACAUGUGAGUUCAGUUACAGAUGAACUGCGAGGACUGAAUUAUUUCUGAUGCUGGAGAGGCUCUGGCUGAGCUGCUUGUGAAGGGGAGGAAAGAUACAAACAGGAUAUUCAGUGUCAAGCUGCAGCAGCACCCUGAGGGACCCACCCAGAGGCAAACGCUUGAAUGCUCACUCUCUCCUUCAGCCAAGUUAGCUGAGGAAACCUGACAUAAUUGUAGACUGUAGAGCUCCAGUUCUGCAGGGACAAACUCAUGCAGUGACAUUUUAGAAAUGAAAUAAUCUGAAAUGGAAACUUCUUGUUGCACUGAACAAGUCUGUGAGACACCACAUGGUUUUACAGGAUAGCCUUUGGGUGCAUUUAUUUUGUUCUCAAAUUGUGCCAGCCUUGCUUGCUGGUCCCUUUGCAGGGAUCUCUCACUUCUGUGCUACAGAGGCAUUGAUGUUAACACUCUGCUACAGGGAGACGUGGUGUGACACUGUGAGUUCCACAGCUGGCGUUAUGGCAACCCAACAUUCACAGACUUUGCAGUCUCAUAAUCAGUAGAGCUGUGACUAGGAGUGUGAAUUCAGUGCAAACAAGCAAGAGGCUGUGGAGGGGAGCAACGUGGAGGUUGUUUAGGCAGGUAGAAGACAGUACAGUGAAUCCAACACUGGUGAGAUAUGCUCAACUUAAAGACUAUCUCAGCCUAACUAAGGGCAGUGUUGACAGAGCUUGUAGUAACACGCAGUAUUGUGAGAGUGAAGGCUGUUCUCUGUGCUGUGUGAGUGUAUCUGAUAUCCAGAAACAAAAGCAGUUGGCAUUUCCCUGGUGUAUGCUGAGAUGUGGUGCAAUGUGAUAGAGCAACAGGGAACUCCUUGCUGGCUUUUUGCCCUAUGCAGAUUCCUUUUGAAUUAGGUUGACCUUUAAAGCAAGACCUGCUUCUUCUGCUUCUUAUUGUCUAAGUUCUGCAUUGGAGCCUGAGAAACAAGUCUGUGAAUCUUGGAGGAUUUUUUUAAAGCUCUAAUUAGUGAAACAAAAUAGGUUGGAAGGAGUCUGAGGAGAGAAUCGCCAAAUGGAAACUAUUUUACAGAGCUGUUGCCUUUUAUUUUUUGUUUUACUCCAUUCCACAGCAACACUGGCCUGAGUGGUGCUAGGCUUAAAUCAGCACAAAAUAUGGUUUGUGUCAAAGAAGACUGGUCCACAACCCUCUCCUGUUGUUAAAAGGCACCUCUGCCUCGUGGUCAAAACAGCACCUUGUUUGCCCUCAGCAAUUUGGAAACCCAAAGCUGUGUUCCUGCUGCCAGGGUUUUGUACUAGAGCACUGCAACUGCUUGGCACCAGCAGCCCCAUGCAGGAGUUUAGAGAUUCUGGCAUUUCGUGCAGAUUAUUAAGUGCUGAUCGAAGGGCAGCUGAAACUGGAACUCAGCUCUGGGUGGGAGGCAGCAGCUCCUGGGCCAGUGAGAGGCCUCAUUGUGGUGCUUCGGGACCUGCAGGUGGGACUGCAGGAGGGGUGCAAGCAUAUGAAUAUUUUUGGUUUAAACACAAGGCUUAAUUUUUCAGAAAUAUGAAGAGGUUCUUCAAGGUUGUGAGAGCCUAAAGCCUUGGAUUUCUCCUGCCUCAUCUGCCUGCUGGCACGAACAGCCCUGUUGUCCCAUUUAGAGUGCGUUUGAUCUCUCAGUGACUCAUUUCCAAGGCUCGCUAUCUGCACCAGCAAGGUGCUUCAGGGUUGAGACGCACCCAUGUAUCAGCUCUGUUACUGUACCCUGUUAUCAGCUACUCCUUUCACUCCUGGGGUGCUCCCGGCCUUUGAUCUGUUCCUGAGCUGCAGCAACAGCUUUCCUUGUUUUUUAAUGCUUCAUUACACUGUACAGGGCCAUCAUCGCUCCCCAAAUGCUGCAAUCUCUGCUACCUAUGUGCUGCACUCAUAAGUACAUCCAGGCUUUUUCUUGAAAGCAUGAAAUAAACUCUCAUUCCCCUCAAUCCUCAAAUAAUCAUAAUGGAAAUCAGUUUACUGCGAGAUGGCAAUUUCCAUCAGACACUAUAUGGAGGUAUAAUGAUAUGGUUAAUUAUUCCCUUCCUUCUCCCUGUUGCAUUUAGCUGCUGCUUUUAAAAAUCUGUGGAGCGGGGGCUGUUUACUCCAUCCGUAUAGCAGCUGGUGCUGUGGGCUCUGACUGUUCUGUAAAUCCUGAUGUUAUUGAGCAGUUCUGAAUCCUGUCCCCCAGCAGAAGUCCUUUUUUUGCUGGCCAGGAUAGAUCUUGUUUAAUUUGAGGCUAAUUCUGUCAAAGUUAGAGACCCCAGUGGAAAGAAAGGUGCUCUGUGUGCAGGAAGACUGAAAGAGCUUUCUGUGUUCUACAGGGUUUUUUUUUACAGUGGCAAGUGGGCAAAAGCAAAGACACACAAUAAUUUAAAAUGUAUUUGCUUAAAACCAGCUGAAUUCAUAGUAAUGUUGGAAGAAACCAGCAGCAGCAUCUGAGCCGAUUCUGCUGGAGAUGGUGCUUAUCAGAUGACCCAGCAAAACCUCCCUGUAGGAAGGCUUGUAGGAUUUGGGUCAGAAGUUCCAGCAUAACAAGCACAUGUCUCUCACAGCUUUCAGAGCAGUCAGUUCCUGCUGAUGAGGUGCAGAGCAGUGAUCUAACUCGUUUUGUCCAUUCUCUCAGGGGUGGGUCUUGGCCAGGCUGUGUGGUGGAGGACAGACAGACGUGUUUGCUGCACUAAGUCUUGUAAUAGAGGGAAGGAGGGAAGGCUGUGGUUACCUACGUGUUUGUCUGCUCAUGGGGUCCAGCCAAAUGGCACAGCCCAUGUCUGCAACACUGGGAAUCCUGACCACAGUGUGUUGAUCCUAUGUGAUUUAAUAGUAACAAAUCACUUUCCUUACACUGGCCAGGUUGGGCUUGUUUUGUUUAUGCCUUGAAACCUCUCUUCUCCCCCCCACUAUGAUCUGUGCCAAACUGGCAAGUUAAAAACUCUGCCUGGUGUGUGGGCAGGAGAAGGGCCACAUCCUGGUGCAUAAAAUGUGUGAGAUGUGAUACAGGGUUGAGGGGAGGAUGAGGUGCGGACAAGAGGUGCCAGUCAUGUGCUCAGUUCAUGACUUGCCCAGCCUGUUUCACAGACUUGUAGUUACUGAUCCUUGACUAUGUUUCAGGCCUGGCCUACAGUCACUAAUUGUCAGUGUCCUGGGGCUUUUCCCAGGUUUUAAUUGUCCCUAUUAGUAUGAUGGAUAUUGGAAAUAAGGACGCACUGGAGAAAGGUAGUAGUGUUAUUACUGCGGCCGUUGUCAUUGCUGGGGCUGCCAUUAAAGCUGCUUACUGGCAUUUGCCCUCCUGUGAAAUGUGUAGGUGAGCUAUUUAUAAAUGAGCAGAGAGAUCCUACAUCUCUAGCUUGUGCUCAGAUUUAAGGGUUAAUCCCUACCAGGAGGUAAGAAUCUGUCCAGGACUGCAAAGCAGGUUAGUGGCAGUUGGAAAUAAUCCACUCCUUCUGAGCCUCAGUGUUGUCUGUAUUUCUGGGGGCUGGCAGGGGUGUGGAGAAGCAGCAUACUGUUUCCCCAUUAGCUCUCCCUGUUCCAGCAUAAGCUCCCUUCUUCAGGGCGGAGAGAGGCACUUUUCCUGCUGCACAGCCCCCUCUCCUGUCCUCUGCUUCCUCUACACAGCAGAUGCACUCAGAUCUCUCCUGGGCUUCGCUCAGCUUCAGUCUUCUCUUGCUUUUACUUUUCCUUUCUGGAGUGGAUUCAACCUGGUGUGCAGGAGGGAAUUGCCCUUUUCCUGGAGCAGUCCAGUCCCAGACACACAGUAAUUAGUCUCUGUACUUCUCAAAAAUUCUUCUGAAAGUAGAUACAGCCACUUGCUUUCAUUAUUCCUUUCCUGUGAGGUGUAAAUUGCCUCACCUUCUAAAACACGCAGGUUCCUGAACAACAAGAUUAAUAUAGUUGGAUUUCUAGUGCAAUUAUUAUCUUUUACUUUUCCACAUGUAGAUUUGCUGAUGACUAGCUUGACUCCCAGAUUUUAAAAAGUUGAGGAAAAUUACCUACCUUUGAGGCCUGCACCUCAAUCUCCAGGGCUGCACAAAAGGCUCAAGUAGGAUUAGGCAGACAUGGAUGCACCCCAGAUGGAUAGCAGGAGCCUAAUUGCUGUAAGAAACAAGGUUAAUGCGAUGUGGUUGUAGUGAAGAAAUGAGGCUUCUCUCCUUGAGAGCUCCUGGCUUGCUGGCUGGAUCUGUAGGACACUGCCCUCUCUUGGUCCUAGAUGGGCUCUGGGUCUGAGCUGAGGAACUUACCUUUCCUGAGUAUCCUGGUGGCCAAGGGAUUGCUACUGGAACCUGAUAUGUCCUGUGGUUUAUAAACUCAGGUAGAGCUAUAGACUUUGUAGGUGAUCCCAACAUUCCCUCCAGGAGCUUGUGACAGGAUUUAUAUGGAGCUUCAGCACUGCAUGAAUUCAAUUGUGAGAACAGUAACCUAUGAGUGAUUUUAUCAUUGUAUGCAGGAAAGUGAUGUAAGAAACCACAGAAAUCUGCUAGACUGAUUCUUGAACACGUGGUGAAAGACUAAUCUGUUUUUGCUUGUAAAUGGGGGUUUUAUGUAAAUGUUGACAAAUCAUAAUUAUGACAUAAACAUUUCAGGGAAUUCACACUUCCAGAUGCAAUGGAGUUGUGGGAGCAAUCUAGGAACAGAGACUUGUUUGAGAGAGACAUCUCUGACUUGAUCUCAGUGGUGCCCUUUGGGGGUUACACUCACUCAGAGCCUGUCCCUGAUGCUGCCUGAGUGAUUCAGUGUGAGGCUGAGCUCUGCACUUCUCUGUACAGGUUAUACAAACAAGUGGGAUGUAAUGGUUCCACAUUGUCCCAUUUCUGCUACAUGUUGUUAUUGUUGCUGCCCUUGUGUGGUUUAUGUUUAUGUACUGGCAGUGUUUGGCAUUGUGUUCAACCUUUUUCAUGUCCUGGAGAACCUCAUAAAUCUACUCUAUCUAC